rnacentral:rRNA from 1 species
UACGAAGGGGGCUAGCGUUGCUCGGAAUCACUGGGCGUAAAGGGCGCGUAGGCGGCCAUUCAAGUCGGGGGUGAAAGCCUGUGGCUCAACCACAGAAUUGCCUUCGAUACUGUUUGGCUUGAGUUUGGUAGAGGUUGGUGGAACUGCGAGUGUAGAGGUGAAAUUCGUAGAUAUCGGGAGGAACACCGGUGGCGAAGGCGGCCUGCUGGGCAGUUGCUGACACUGAGGCGCGACAGCGUGGGGAGCAAACAGG